AGCUGCGAUAAAUAGUGCGAAUUGCAGACGCAUUGAGCACAAAGAUUUCGAAUGCACAUUGCACCAUUGGGUU
rnacentral:rRNA from 1 species